UACGAAGGGGGCUAGCGUUGCUCGGAAUGACUGGGCGUAAAGGGCGCGUAGGCGGCUCAUACAGUCAGAUGUGAAAUUCCUGGGCUUAACCUGGGGGCUGCAUUUGAUACGUGUGGGCUUGAGUGGGGAAGAGGGUCGUGGAAUUCCCAGUGUAGUGGUGAAAUACGUAGAGAUUGGGAAGAACACCAGUGGCGAAGGCGGCUAUCUGGACGGUUUCUGACGCUAAGACGCGAAAGCGUGGGGAGCAAACAGG
rnacentral:rRNA from 1 species